rnacentral:rRNA from 1 species
AUGAGCCAUAAAAAAUCACAACACCUGAGAACUACAAACCAAAGUUUAAAACUCAAAGGACUUGGCGGUUUUUUAGACCUUCCUGGAGGAGCUUGCCAUUUAACCGAUAACCCACGAAACACCUUACCAGCCUUCGAACUUACAACUUGUAUACCAUCAUCGUCAGUCUACUCCCUUAGGAAAGUAUACUAAAAGAAAAUAUCUUCACUACGUUAGAUCGAGGUGCAGUUAAUAAGCUGGAAAUGCGUGAGCUACAACACUAUAACAAUUUAAACAUAAUUUUGGACAACCCCUUGAAAAAAGGGCUUCAAACAGGAUUCAGCAGUAAUGCUUAACAGAAAAUAAACAUGAAAUCCCC